rnacentral:rRNA from 1 species
CCUACGUGUGGCAGCAGUGAGGAAUAUUGGUCAAUGGGCGGGGGCCUGAACCAGCCAAGUCGCGUGAGGGACGACGGUCCUAUGGAUUGUAAACCUCUUUUGUCGGGGAACAAAGGCGCCCACGGGUGGGCGGAUGAGUGUACCCGAAGAAAAAGCAUCGGCUAACUCCGGGCCAGCAGCCGCGGUAAUACGGAGGAUGCGAGCGUUAUCCGGAUUUAUUGGGUUUAAAGGGUGCGCAGGCGGAUUUUUAAGUCAGCGGUCAAAUCGUGGGGCUCAACCCCAUCCAGCCGUUGAAACUGGGGAUCUAGAGUGUGCGAGAGGUAUGCGGAAUGCGUGGUGUAGCGGUGAAAUGCAUAGAUAUCACGCAGAACCCCGAUUGCGAAGGCAGCAUACCGGUGCACAACUGACGCUCAGGCACGAAAGCGUGGGUAUCGAACAGGAUUAGAUACCCUUGUAGUC